rnacentral:rRNA from 1 species
ACCAGGAGUGGAGCUUGCGGCUCAAUUUGACUCAACACGGGAAAUCUUACCAGGUCCAGACAUAGCGAGGAUUGACAGAUUGAUAGCUCUUUCUUGAUUCUAAUGGGUAUUUUGGUGGUGCAUGGCCGUUCUUAGUUCGUGGAGUGAUUCGUCUGGUUAAUUCCGUUAAAACGAACGAGACCUCAGCCUGCUAAAUAGUUGCUCGCCUUUUCUAUAAGACUUGACAACUUCUUAGAGGGACUUUGUGUAGCAACCACAAGGAAGUUUGAGGCAAUAACAGGUCUGUGAUGCCCUUAGAUGUCCUGGGCCGCACGCGUGCUACACUGAUACGUACAACGAGGUAUAUGUACUUGUACAUCAAUGCUGCUCCGAAAUAGACGAGCUUAAUCUUAUAAAUACGUAUCGUGCUGCGGAUAGAUCGUUGAAAUUAAUGAAUCUUGAAGGUGGAAUUCCUAGUAAGCGCACGUCACUAACGUGCGUUGAUUACGU